UAUGUGGAACACUGUCUUUAAUCGUUCCUAUAACUAUAAAACAAGAAAUAGCGUCAUCUAUUGACAUAUUGAUAGAUGCUACAGACAUUUAGCAAUGUUGUAAUACAAAACUUUACCUAAAGAUGUCUUUCGUGUUAAAGUUAUAGUAUAUGAAGUGUGAAAUUUGAAUGAAAGUGGAACGUUAGUCGUUUGUUUGAAUUCAAAAAUAUUAAAAAAAUAGUUAUUGAACAGUUUUGACUCCAAAAAAAUUCUGUGCUGCAACGAAGUGUAUAUUUUGCAGAGAUAAUGUCGCUAAGAAGAUUGCGUGAUGAAGAUAUUGAAGGUUUCUGGGAUAUUCCUUCUGGGAGUGAAGAUGGUCAAGAUUUUUCUGAUGCUGAAAGUGAUGAUGACAUCGAAAAGGUUCAGUCCAUCCGAAACUUUUUAUCAGAGCCACUCAGCAACGUGGAAACUUCCUUCUCUCCGCAAAUAUAUCAGUUUUCGUCUCCCGUCAACGAGCAUGUUACGAAUAUUGUAAAUCGUCAGCCAGAAAUAUCAAACCCUCAGCCUAGUAUAUCAGGAAUGACUUCAAGGACAACUACAAGUCCAUUGCAUAAUCUCAGGAACCUAGACGAUCAUCGACUAUGAGUAACACAAUCGGUCAUGGAUCUAGAAUCCCUGGCACUGUAACUGUCACUCAAAGAAAAAAAAGAUUUAUAUGGAAGAAAACAUAUUUUCAAUAACGCCCUUCUUCAUUUACUGGAAACGCAAAUUUCCAGUCACCGAUUAUAGACUUUGAAACGCCCCUUCUUUAUUUUUUAUGGUUUUUUGGUGAUGCGUUAUUUCAGCAUAUUGGAGAAGAUAUUCAGCAUAUGCACAAAUUUAGUGUCCAAAAAAUUCUUCAAAGAAAAUGGUACUUGAGGCUAUUUUAUCAUCUUCUUGAUGUAACCCUUGUCAAUUGCUGGUUAUUGUACAGAAGAGUCGGAGAGCAGCAGCAUAUACCAACCCCAAUGAAACCGAAGGACUACAAAUUUGAAGUAGGGAAAAGUUUAUGCAUAGACCAAGUUUAUCUGAUGAAGUUGAAAACAAAAGACAGAAGCCAAAUACAUCAAUCCUACCUCCGCGUGAUGUCAGGCGCGAUGGGUUUGAGAAUUUUCCUGUUUGGGGUCAAAAAAGACAACGAUGCAAAUAUCCUGGUUGCAAAGGAAAUACAUUCAUAUCUUGCAACAAAUGUUGCGUAGAACUUUGCCUCAAUAAAUGUAACAAUUGUUUUAGAUCCUUUCAUCAAUAAAUCAUUUUAUAUUAGUUAUAAGUAUGAUUUUGCAAUAAUAUAAAAAAGUAAAAUAUAAGUAAAGGUAAUAAUCAUUUCAUUUUGAAUAAUUUACAAUUGAACAAAAAGUACAUAGGAAACUUCCAAAACAAUUCAACUGUACUAGUUUAGUAUACCAAAAAGUAUAGUUAAGGCUCAGUGUACCAUAUGUGGAACUGAAAUAAAAAGUUGAUUUUUUCGUAAAA